rnacentral:rRNA from 1 species
UACGUAGGGUGCAAGCGUUGUCCGGAAUUAUUGGGCGUAAAGAGCUCGUAGGCGGUUUGUCGCGUCUGCCGUGAAAGUCGGGGGCUCAACUCCGGAUCUGCGGUGGGUACGGGCAGACUAGAGUGAUGUAGGGGAGACUGGAAUUCCUGGUGUAGCGGUGAAAUGCGCAGAUAUCAGGAGGAACACCGAUGGCGAAGGCAGGUCUCUGGGCAUUAACUGACGCUGAGGAGCGAAAGCAUGGGGAGCGAACAGG